rnacentral:rRNA from 1 species
AGCGAACGCUGGCGGCAGGCUUAACACAUGCAAGUCGAACGGGCAUCCUUCGGGGGUGUCAGUGGCAGACGGGUGAGUAACACGUGGGAACGUGCCCUUCGGUUCGGAAUAACUCAGGGAAACUUGAGCUAAUACCGGAUACGCCCUUACGGGGAAAGGUUUACUGCCGAAGGAUCGGCCCGCGUCUGAUUAGCUAGUUGGUGGGGUAAGUGGCCUACCAAGGCGACGAUCAGUAGCUGGUCUGAGAGGAUGAUCAGCCACACUGGGACUGAGACACGGCCCAGACUCCUACGGGAGGCAGCAGUGGGGAAGUAUUGGACAAUGGGCGAAAGCCUGAUCCAGCCAUGCCGCGUGAGUGAUGAAGGCCUUAGGGUUGUAAAGCUCUUU